rnacentral:rRNA from 1 species
UACGGAGGGAGCGAGCGUUGUCCGAAGUUACUGGGCGUAAAGCGCGCGUAGGCGGGGGAUUAAGUGAGAAGUGAAAGGCUGAGGCUCAACCUCAUGCAGUGCUUCUCAUACUGGUCCUCUUGAGGGUGGUAGACGAGAAGUGGAAUGGCUGGGUGUAGCGGUGAAAUGCGUAGAUAUCAGUCGGAACACCGGUGGCGAAGGCG